ensembl:lncRNA
GUGUGAGAUUUUAUUCAAGUCAAAGUAAUUCUGAAUGAUUUAAAAUUACGGACCACUUCAAGUUUUUUAUUUGACUAAAACCUCGUGGAAAUUUCAUUUGAAGAAUUCAUAUCAAACCUAAAAUAUGCUCAGAAUCAAAGUUAAAACUUUUGAUUUUGAAAAAAUGACUGUAAUAAAAAAAUAUUUCUUCAAUUAAUUUUCAUAUCAGCAGAUAUAUGACUGUCAAUGUGUUAGCCCAUAUUGGAAUUGACUCUUCACUUCUGAUGUAGAAGAAAAACUGACAACAUCAAAGAACAUCUGAAUGCAUGUAUAUUCUUGGAAACCUGUUUUACCACAAACAUUUGAACCUGAAAUGCCAGAUUCAUAACCCAACAAACUGAUUUGGUGAAUCCCUUAAACUGCAGCAGCAAUGAUGGCUCCUCCUUGGCAGAAACAUGCUGAGAGGCAGUUGGGAAUCCCCUGCUCUGGAGCUGCAGCCUGAGGAACCUCAGCGUGUAAGAAGCGUCUCUGAGGCACUCACAUGGUGAUGGUUAUACAUCUCCUGCUUACCCCAACUUAGUGAAAGCUGUCUUCAAGCAAAUAAGACUGGCAGCAAGGCUGGGAGUGCAAUCACCUGCUGGCAUAAUCCCUGGACUCUUCUUAAAGGAAUUCUAAAAAGGGAAACUCAGGAAUGCCUACCUGACUGUCCAGAGAACUGCCAUCCAGAGGAGCAUCCUACAGCAGCACAAGCAUUUCAUCUUCUGGAUUUGUGGAGACAUGUGGGAUUUGUUGAUGCUGAAGGCAGGAGGAAGUCAAGGGAGAAAAAAAGAAUUCUGGGAGAUUUUAAAAACAAAAAUGAUUCUCACUAGGAAACUUGGUAAAACCGAAGAUCCAAAGUGAAACAUCAGGAAACAUCACCAAAAUGAAGCCCGUUGGAUGUUUGCAGCUGUUUCUUUAGUCCUGAUUAACAGGGAUUUUCUGAGAAGAGCUGCACAAGUGCAGUCCCCAUUCAGCGUACAGAUUUUCCAGAGUGAUCUCCAAGUUGUAAUGGACAACCUCUUUCCUGCCAGCAGAGCCCAGAGAGGAAUAAACCAAGACCACCAGCUAAGUCAUUGUGUAAUGUGCUGUGGAUAUGAGCAUCGAAUGCCCUCAGUGGCAAUGACUCAGGACCAAAUCAUCCUUUUGCGGGAAUUACCUACGAAGGAAACUGGACGCUCCAUGGCAUCUGUGUCAUCCUUCCCUCCAGAUGGUGCCUCCAAAUCUGUUCUGAAAUGGCAUGUGCAAAGCAAAUCCAGAGUGCCUAUCAUUCAGCCCUCUGAUGGCAACUCUCAGACAACUCGGGGACAGACAGAACACAAAACCAGAAAUAAGGACUUGCAACCGUGGCUGAAGAUGCCCAGAGAGUCGUGUAUGUAACAGCCAGCGAGAGGCAGAUGACAGCAACAAGAAAUUUCACAGCUCCAAAGAGUGAACGUACCACGGAUUAGUACCGGAGACAGAAAUACUUCUAUGAAAACCAUGAAGGAAGUUCCGGAAUCUAGAGUAACUCUCGGAUGCACAGAACUGGAGACUUAAAAGAUCCUCAGUUCCCCCAGGACCUGAGCAUGUAGAAACGUGGGGGCCUGGCUGUCCUUCUGGUCUGCACGCGUGGCCUCAAGCCCGAAUCCCUACAACAGCAUCUCCACUGGCAGCAAAGCGCUUCUUUGCCCUUUACCACUGAACUGCUGUGGCUUGAUUGUGUGAAACUGAGUUUCAGGAUGCAAGAUACUGUUCAGAUAGUUCUGCAAUACAUUCUUCAGACCCAGCAGCUUUGGCAGGCCCGUGGAUGAUGGAAUAACCAGAUCUCUGCGGCCACCCCUGAAAAACAGAUUCUUUCUUCUGGAUUCCCUGGGAUUCUCUCAGCAGCCAGCCUUGUUUACAGAAGUCAGCGCGGACAGUAACAGCCCUUCACCAAUGAGCCACAGUGGACCCUUUGGGGAAGGCUCCUCACGGUGCUCUGUCAUCUGCUGACAAAGUGGUGCCAGGACCAGAACUUCACAAUGAACUCUGCGGAGAAAAAUCCACAGCAGAUGAAGGAAUCUCGAAGGUAUGGACCUGCAGUAAAACUGCUGUAAGAAAUGAUUUAGUUUAUCUUUAUUCACCUCUGUAAAGGCUGAAGGCUGAGCCUUGUGGCAGGCUGUGAUAUCACCUUCUUAGUCGAGUUAUUUGUUACUGUUUUUUAUGUUUUCUGGUAUUCAAAAAAAAAAAAAGAAAAGAAAAGAAAAAGCUAUAGCUAGGAGUUAUUGGCAGUUCAAACCGACUAACACCAUGUUUGGAAAUGACCUGGAGUGCAGGUAUUUGCUACAGGAGAGCACCUGGAGCAGCUGAUGGGCGCUUAGGUACCGUAGUGCUGCUUUCCUGCCUACGGCCAAGGGACCGGGCGUGCGCAGCAGUGUGCUCUGCACGACCAGAUAGGAAUAGCAGCAAUAUCCAGCACCAAUUCCUUCCCUCUCACUCCUGGUCUGUUUCCAUACGUGGCAGUCAUGCAAUGUGAUUUCAACACGAACCGGGCUCCUGAUGUGAAAGCGUUCUCAGCUUUCAAGUUUAGGUUUAAAAAAACAACACGGAACGGAUGAAGUGAAAUGUUUCCUUUGGACGGCGCUCUGACAAAGGGGAGGAAACCCCUCACUGUGGGAUGGCAGCCGCGGGUCAGGGGCGGGUAAGCAGCGGUUACCGCCAUCCAGAGGAGAGCAGCCAUCAGCCGUCAGAUUGCAUUUUGUUUUGUGAGUGGAAAGGAGAACCCAACCGGUUGGUCUGGUUCGUGCUGAGGCAUCCCAGAGCAGAAAAACAACUCAGUGACAGGUAGACUCAGGCUUAAAGUGAGAGGAUCCCCCACGUCACUGGUUUCAACUAGAGGAUACGUCUGUGCUAUGAGAAUACUCAGUAUGAGAAACGUGCUGCGAAACAGAGGCAGCCAGUUGGAGCAGUGCUUCAGACUAAGCUGAGGUCAGUUUUAGAAUCACAGAACACUUCAGGCUGGACAGGAACUCUUGAUGUCACCUCAAUCCACGCCCUGCUCAAAGAAGGUCUCACUACGUCAGAUCGCUCAAGGCUGCAGCCAGUCAAGUUGAACCCUCAAAUGGGGAGCCUCUGCUGAAUGCUGGUUACUGCAAGGUUCAGGCACCCAAGUAUGUGCUUAUGUGAGUGGGAGUACAACGUACCUACGCCUACCUACGUGUGCUUACCUACAGACAUUUUUAUUUUCAAUGUUCUGAUUCCAGCGGCCUUUUCAAGAGACAAAAGAAAGUUAAAAAUAAAAUUAGAGCCUAAAAACAAUGGAUUUGCAGUAGCCAGCACAAUGCCAGUCUGCACUGUUGCGAAAGACCUGUGCAUAAACAUUCAUAGGGAUGAAUUCAGAGGUGAUGGGCGACACAGACUGAGGAAAAGGAGCCCAGAGAGUAGGUAAUAAUAAAGAAAAUCAUGAAAAGAGGAAACAGAGAAGGAAAAGCAGCUAAGUGAAAGGUAUGUAACACCUAAUCUAAAGCACAUUUCUCUCUCCUUCAGCGCACACAAAACUUUUACCGGUUCCUUUUUAUGGUUAUUGAAUGCCUACAUUACCUGAAAGUGGAAUUUAUUGAGCUGAGUGUUAAACUCUAAGUUUUACAAAUAAGCUUCCGUACAAAAAUAUUUAUUAUCUGUAACGUACAUCAUCAGCUCUUACACUCCCACUGCGUUCAUCCAUUGUCUCCCAAUACAGUUACCGUGAACGUAUGUCAGAAUAUACGUCAGCCUCAGAAAUACACACUUGUACUGCAGUGACUAUUUUCUAUUCCUUAUUUCUUUGCCUCUAUUUUAAACAACGGAUGUGUACGUUUGCUUAGAACCUAGCUUCUGAAACAGAAGGACAAAAUUACUGGUUCUGACAGCUGUGAAAACAUUUCCAUAAUACAGAAAAUCUAAAUGCCUCUUCAUUCAAUCACUUUCUCAAUGAAAACAUCCCAGGAUUAAAGAAAUCCAGGGAAAGAGAAAAGAUUAACCUAGAAAAGGCAAAUAAGCAAGUGAAUAAAGCUGGGUUUAUUGCUUCCUGCUUCAACAAUGUCCAACAAGAUCUGGGCCAUGGUGCCACAGCUUUCACACGCGUGUGCAGUGGACACAGCUCCCCUGCAUGCAAACAAUGCACCAGCUUGCGUGAAGUGAAUUGGGGCCAGCACAAUUGUUUGAAGGAGGAGGGAUGCACAGUCACUGGAAGCACAGAAGCGCCUUUUCUCUCUGGUUUCAUGCAGCUGACAUACCGAGCAGAGGAGCCAGAGAGAACAUGUAAUGGAAAUAAAUGACUUUGCAGACCCAACGGAAGGAGGUGGGAGCGAAAAAGCAUCCUCACCCCCUGCCCGGCGGCUGCGUAAAUCUGUCCCUGCCAGGAGAGCUCCGGGAGGUGCUCAGCGGCCGCCUCCCCAGGAGUCAGUGAGAGUUCAGGUGCUUACUGUGUCAUCAGGCUUGACCUUCACAUGCGACACUGCCAGGACGUUUGUUUUCCCACAGCAGUGAUUGCUUCAGUCAAUUAUUAUUGCCCAUCGUAGAGUGCAAACACAUAAGGGCUUGAUUUACAGUGCAAAAAUAUACAUCCUGAAUUUACUUCCUCUUUUGUUUUUGGACUGUCAUAGCAUCUCCACCUUAAAGAGAUGACAGCAAAUUACUUCAUAGGUAAAUAUAUGUAUGUAUAGGGAAGGAUAAAUAGCAGUCAUUCGGGUCAUUGUGAGAUGAACGUUCAGUAUAGCUUCAGAUCGGCUGUGUCAGACGUGACAAUAUAUUUUAAGCUUUUUGUUUUAAAAUUUUCAUUUUUUCUGCUUUUCUUUGAAGAAAUCAUCAUUCGCAAAUUUUGCAAGUUGGCAAUCUAACCUCUAAAUCCAUUCUAACGCAGAUUUAAGAUUGUGCAUUCAGUUCCUUAAGCAAUGUUUAGGUAUUACCAAUAUACUGAAAGAUAGAUGAGACAGCCUCAUGGUAAUACAGCUUUUAACCUUUCCUCUCCUCUACCAUGACGGGGGAGAAUUACAGUAAAUGAUGGUUACCUUGUCUGCAGUAUGGACAAUUGAUUUGACCUCACUGCAUCUGAUGCUCUAAUGGACUUUGUGGCUGAAUCCCUGGAGAUAUAAAAUAUGUCCAAGUGAAUUGGGGCAGGUUAAAGAACGGACCUGCUUUUCAUGGCUGGCUCAAGCUAUAAUAGAUCUCCCGGUUGUUCUGAGAAGAAGAUUAAAAAUGAUCAAUAUCCAAAUCAUUAAAAAAAAAAAGCGGUGGCUUCUGUAAAUCUACCAUAGGUGGGUUUUUUUUCCUGCUAAACGCCGGAGGAGGGUGUCUGGGUUGAUAACGUGAGUUUCCAUAACAAAUGUUUACUUCUGUUUACUCUCUAGUAACAUGUUCCUUUUUAUAUUAAGACUCAGACACACAGAUGGCGUGAUUCAGCACUGCUUUCCUGAAGUCAUGCUUGUUUACACCAUGAAGAGUCAGGCCUUAGGUUUAUUUAAUAUAGAUAAAAUAACAAUACUAUAAUAUUUCCUGAAGCAGAAAAUAAAAUCAAGGACAGAUUUCAGAGAAUGAUGGCAACUGCGAUAACUGUGAACAUCCUCACAGUUCUGCUAGCCACAGUGUCUAAGACAAAAAUAAAGGUUUAAUUUAGUGAGGAAAAAAGAAAAAAAAGAUUUUCCUUGGCUGCUCUGAGUCCUUCAUUUGGCAAAGUGCAAUUGAACAUCUUGUUUAUCCUUUCCCACCCUCUCACGAACAUCUCUGCUCUUUUCUCACCAGCACACAACUGAGCUCAAGGUGAGUGUAAGUCUGUCCAGCCCCUGGAGGUGCCAGGAGAAAAGCUUUCACAGCCCACAGCUGGGAGCUCACCCACAGACCUUCCUCUCUACAUACAGCAGCAAUGGGGCAGGCAACUUCAGUGGGCUUAUACGUAUGCACAUGCUUAGCUUCCUGUAAAACCCAUGCAUUAAGGAGACAGAUGCACAGCUGUUCCAUCUGAGGCAUGCAUGUAUUGGUUUCUGCACUUAUUCAGUAAACUUGAAAUGCAGAGGAGCCCAAAUCUCUGUUCUGAACAGUUUGAGGUUGUUUGGAUCUGACAUCUCUGUGCGUUCACUGACAGAAAUAAGCUAAUUAUGAACCUGAGUUGGAAGAGGGAUGCCCUUUUUCUGAGUUUUGAGAAGUGUCUGGGCAGAGUAAUUGGACUGCCCUAUCUCAACUGCGUUACAGCAAUCGAGCAAAUGCGAAAAGUCUUCCUUAGAAAGGAAGAAAUAUGUGUUUUUAAGUGCUAGGACAAUUCCACGUAACAUCACGGUUUGCAUCUAUACCCACAGUACGCAGAGAUUCAUGCAGAUGUCCAACAAAUUGAAAAGGCUUCAAAUAUAUUUUAUCUAGUUGUAUGUUUAACAGUAUUUACCUUUUGCCUUUCACAGGUUGCUUUAAAAUCUGACUAUGUAAUAACAUCCUCUGAAUGAUUUAAUUUAAGCUAACGUGCUAUCCCUUUAUGUAAAAAGUAAAGGUAUUUUGAAAGCCCUUGCUGAAUACUCUGAGGUUGCCUCUACUGUGUGGCUAGCACUGGGCUGAAUGCCUAGCAUCCGUGCGUAGAAGAGGGAACAACUGCUGCCCCUCCGAUCUGGCUAUUCUUGUAUCUGGAAACAUUGUCAGGUGCUACAAGCAUCACGCCAUCUGAAAGGCCAAAGUUGAGUACUACGUUAUUGGAGUAGAUGACACCUUAUUCUUAUUCUUCAACAAUUCUAACAACUUAGAGUCCCUCACUGUCCCUUUAUGAACACAGAUGUCAUUCUGAGGGGGGGGACAGCCAAAAUGACAAGAAGGUGACCUGUCGGUGAACUCAGGAGCAGGUGAGGCCUGUCAGCUUCUAAUUUGAAACUGGUGUCAGUCCUGAGGAAUGGCUGGUAUAAUCACAUUUGUAACUGAUAUCCUAUAAACGCUGCAAACAUUCACAGUGCGCCUGUUAUGAGUAAUAUGAAAUUAACAAUUCGUGUUUAUGACACAAGACACCGACCGAAUCAAGCAGGUCUCCGUAACUGGAUCAGCUCCGUCUGUCUGCCAGAGCAGCGCAUCGAACUGCUUCAACCAAAGCCAAAUUACUGUGUGCUUAUGUUACAAUAGGCAUUGUAUUUAUUUUGAAGACAAACUUUUGUAACUAGGCGUAAAGUGAGGACCUCAGAACCAGCUUCUCGCUCAAGUUAUUGCAUAUAAAACUUCUCUUGCUCGAGCCCAGCCAUUAAGAUGUUCGUGACUUUUAAGUUAAGAGUUUGGGACCUAACAAAUCACGUGUUGUAUCUCACAUUUUCUGAAUAACUGAAGGGAAGGCUCUGUGUAAAUCUUCUCUCUCAGACACAUAAAUUACCAGCUGCGUGAAUACUGCCAUUAAGACAAGCAGACAAGUGCGAGGGGUGGGGACAGGGCAGGAUGCCCCAAAGAGGUGGAGUUACAGAGAAAACAAGGCAUUUGCUUACUGAGUAAUUUAUGCUUCAUCUGCCUUCACUGUAGCUCGGUAAGAAUGAACACCAUGAGGCAGUCUGUCAGGCGCUCUCACUUCACUACCGCCAAGGCAUUUUUCUGCAAAUUAGGUAUUUGCUUCCUAUUUCUAGUCACUUCCACCUGGAUUUUUUAUUAGGAAAAGUCAAAAUCAUAGUAUCUGAAGCUAAGAUUUGAAUUGAAGUUACACUAAAAGAUAAACUGUUGCUCAAGUAUAUUUCACAUUUGAAGACAGCAAAAUCUCACAAUCCUUUGCACAAUUAUUUCCAGUCCAAACUGACAGAAGCUCUAAAGUUCGGGUCCUUUCCUGCCUGCACUGCUGCUGAGCCUGGUGCAUAGAUUAGAAGUUCCUUUCCAAUAACAAGCAAAAUAAAAGAAGAACCAUACGAAGAAUCUAUUGCAAUUGUUACACUGGAAUUUAGUUAGCAGAGCUACAAAAACGCAAGUCCAAAUCCCAAGUAGCUAGUGGAGAUUUCUGAACGGUUCUGUACACCUUCACGUAGACAAUCCAGUGGAGCUAACAACCUACUGUAGCACUCUUUUGUGAUAGGCAAAUACCAUUCAUUUCCAUUUUCCACAGAAGAACUGCACUCCACAGAGCUUCAGCAAUGUAAACAAGGCCAGGUACAGCAUUACAGCUGUGGUUCAGGCAACAACAUUCCUUGUCCUCUGACACAACACUUACACAUCAUACUUGUAACACUACCUAGUUCAAGUUGGUGGUCAAUACCACCUAAUUAGCAGAGUAAAAGUGCAAUUUUGAAACCAACUUACAAAACUGCUACAACCAACCUACAAAACUCCAUCAUACCAAAGAAAAAUUAUGGCUCUAAAUUUCACAAUCACUCUCUGCCAACCAAAAACUCACCUUUAAGAAGAGUCAGGGCUGAAAGCUGAAAGUUGAGGCAGUCAUCUCUCAACGUGUAGAACUCCUCACGUUGCUACGAAGGUACAGCACGGUUGUUCAGUGUUUGGAUAAAGUACUGCAUGGGAACUGUUGAAUCACAGCCUGAACCACCAAUUGAUCACCUGAGGCAAGGACUGAAUCAGCUGUGGGAGCACAGGUGAAAGCAAUUCAGCUAUGUGACCAGAAGCUGUGUGACCACAUUCCACCCCUCCCAGACCCCAUUUAAGGGCUGACUAACACUGGGGAAGAAUCUCCUUGUGGUGAUCCCUCCUUUGUGGAGCUUUUCAGUGUGAGCCUAAAUCUUUGCAUACAGAGUUAAUGGAGACGCUCCAAACAGAGGAUUAAGUGGAAAGCAGAGUUUUGCAGCAACCUGAGAUAUUAAAAGGAAAACCAACUGACAGAGCAGAAAAAAGACAGCCAACUUACGGCAACGCGGCAGUAUUUUCCACCAAAAAGUCGCCGUUAAAUCCCCCGCAAUUACUCACAGGAGUCCAUCCCUGGCUUCCUCAUACUUUCAUUUGAAUGGGAUUUGGAUUCUGCCUGUCAUUGUGAAGUAGACUGGAAAAGAGUACUGUCAACACAGAUGAAGACUCAGUGUGAAUAAAAUUAAAAUAAUUAAGUUCUGUUCAACAUCAGUUUGGCCCUGCUUGAGUUGCCAGGACUCCGUACACAAUUUGGGAUGGGGGUUGGGUUUUUUUUUUCGUUGACUGUGGUUUCCUUGGUUGGAAUGCUAUGUCUAAGACCACCAUCCAGGAGAAUGAAGGUCUUCCACCCAAGGGCAACAUCUGUUAUCUACACAUUUGGAUAUUGUGUCCAAAACAGGAGAUAUCAGCUUUGGAGGAACGCGAUUUCAGAGUAUGAAGCAGUUCCAAAGACCACUUGGACUUGAUCUCCAAAUGCCUGAGAUAGAUACAAGCCUUGAAAGUGACCCUCGACACCCUGGGAUCUUCUGUGUAAAAGGCUGAAGCACCCAGGGGGUGUAUCCUUGACUGUGCUGCUGAGUCAAUUAAUUACAGUGCUCGAAAUAAAAUGAAGCUUUGGUUAAGGUAGGAAAAGAGAAAAUAGUACUAAGGUUAACAGUUUGUGAACGUAUAUGUUAAAUAUAUGCAUGUCCCUAUACAGCAGGAAAAGAAAAGGAGUUGGAGGAGAGCAAUUCUAUAUCCUAGUGCCUGUUAUCUGGGCAGAGCAAGGAACUGAGGAGACAUACCCAGGAGCAGCCCACGGCUCUGCAGCGUUGCUCACGCUGAUACCCUACUGCAGCCCAGCAGGGUGCCAAGGAGCUGCUGUGGGAACUGGCUGGAGCAACAACAGAGCCCAGCCAGCUCCCUCCCAUUGACAGCAAGCUCAGCAAAGCAUUGAAGCUGGCUGAACUUACACCUUGGGGUGGUUCAGUGUCACCUGCUCAGAAACAAGGAGCAGCUUUGCUAGACCGUCCCAGCAGCACAGAAGUGCCAUCUGGACCUGGGAGAAGUGUGAAUCUUGUCUCAACUACAGAUGAUCCUAGCACUGUGCAAGCAAACACCCUUAAGGAAAGAGUGCAAUAUGAAUUUGGGUGUAACCAAGCUAUGGUGAGGUCCCCUCCAAAGGAGCAAGAUUAAAUAUGGCUGUAUGAGCCAGCACUAAUCUACUGAGAAGUGGGCAUGCUGGACCAUAGGCAGCCAGCAGUUCGCAGCACAUUGGGGUGCUCCCAUGGCCUGCAGAGAAGAGGGCUACAUGAGACAAGUGUCCCCCUCCAGAGCUUCAAAUGGACCUGAAGCUCCAUGCUUCUCCCCGUGGGAACAAGCUCAAUUUUGUGCUUUGGUCUAAAGAGAGAUCAAGAAGCACUACCAGAACCAGAGCCAGAAAGGAAUGGGUAAUGGGGUGAGUAAGAAGCCUACCAAACCUGUUCAGACUGCUCCUGGGAAGAACAACAGUGACAGCAGAUGGCAGUGCCCAGGAAAUGACUGGGGCUGGUGGGCAGCACUAUUCAGCACUUCCAGCACUAAUUUGAUAGCUGGUGGGCAGUGGUGAAGGGAAAGCAAUGGGGUCAGGUGGGAUGAGGCCACUCUGGAUAGACACUGUUCCUAUCUCUCAGACCUAAAUGCCCCUCCUUACAGGGGCAGGUGCUCAACAAUUCGCUCCAGCUCCAGUGCAGAGCAGAGGGAGCUGUUCUGAAAAUGUAAAACAAAGAAGAAAAAUAACGUUUGGCUAGAAGAAGGACUUUGCAAAAUUUCAUAAGCACAUCAUGGGGAUUUAUUUAAAUACUCUUUCAAAACUUGCAUAACAAGGAAGUAGAUGCAGAUAAUUCUUAUGCGUCUCACCAACACUACAAACAAGACCCAUUUUUCAAUGACAGUAUUGAAAAUGUUUCCUCCCUUGAGUUACACGUAGUCAAGAUUGUCACAUGGGGAUUUUUAAAAAAAUCCCUUAAGCUGGGAAUAUUUAAGAUAACUUUCAGAAGAUCUCUGUCUACAUUUCACUGUUUUAAGUCUCCUUUCAUAAUUAUGUUUAAUGUAACCUCUGCAAAACAAAUAAAAUCACUCAUUUCCAACAGACAUUCACCCACUGCAAUGAGCUCAAAGAAAGACAGACAAUAGCAGAGGAUAAGCGGCUGAGAGUGGACAGCCACGUCCUCCAGCCAAGCAAACCCCAGAAAGUAAGACAGUGUUUUUCAUCGGUCCUUUACAGUUCAGCAUUUAGAGCUGUCACAUUUCUCACCUCACAGAAAGUCCCACUGAAGGACAUCUAGCAGAGCUCUCUCCCUCUCACUAGCAGCCCUCUGCUAUGCACACGAGCCACAGCUUAAUGCAGAUACAUACAUUUUUACCAGCUCUUCCUUAAAGUAUCUGCUUUUUACUGGCUCAGCUUUUUUUGACGCUGUUAUACCUUUGAAAUGAAACUCGAGAGUCCACCUUUCAUUCAAAUAGGGAUGUAAAUUCCCUAGGAAACUGGUUCAUAUUCUUUAGGAAUGUCUGCAUUUUCACAAGAGUCAAAGAACCCAAAUGUCUACAUUAUAGGUCUAAGUUAUGUGCAAUUUAACAAGGGUUAGAGUAACAACAGAAACAAUUCAGAAAAGUAUACGUUUGUAAUUUAAUUAUUCAAUUAUUCCCUUCUAAAGUUCUUAAUAAAUAUUUAAAUAUUGCACACAGCAAGAUAAGUGAAACAUCAACAUUGCAACAUGGCACCGAUUCAGGAUGCACCAUUGGAUAUUGGACUCAUCAGGCCUUUAGGACACAAGCUAGUCAGUGAACAUCAAGUAUAUUUUUUGAUGAACUAUUUGCAAAUUAGAUGUAUUACAAAUGUUUGCUCAUUUAAUUAGAAUAUAAAAGAUGAUUUCUUUGACUGGACCUUGCUUCUGACCCUUCUUGCCUCUGUGUGGUUUGUAUGGUUCUUGGCUAAUGAGAUAUAGGAUAUGUACUAAACAUUUACACAUUAAAGGCAUCCUUCAUUCAGCAUGAAGGUGUUGAUACAUCAAGGAUACCUCAAACAUGCUGAGAUUCCAGCAACUUGUCAGACAAAUUAGCACCUUACCAAUCGGGGGUAAAAUUGAGUUUCACAUUUCUCCCUGGUGGGAAGAAAAAAAUCAAAAAUCACUGUAGUUUAAUACUUUCUUUGUAAAGAUGAACACAAAAGGCCUUAUCACCUCUGUAGUGUAAAUUAUAGCCCUCACUGACUAUCUGAUUUUUAAUUCAUUGGUUUUAAAUGAUCCUAGGCAGUUUACAGCAAAUCUAUUGUGUCAUUCCUCUCUUAGACUUAAUAGAAGAAAAAUGUCUGCCCUAUCUCUUUUACAAAUAUUUAAACUUUACAUCUGCAUGCAUAUAUAUAUAUAUAUAUAUAUCUCUCUCAAAAUGGACGGAAAUCAAAGUCUUAAAUUUGUAUGUUCCAUUAACAUUAACCACCAGCAGCUUUUAACUCAAACUCUAAGGGGUAUGUGGAAUUGAAGGACUGUACAGCAAUGAAACUAUGAUGGUUUAAUUUUUUUCAGCUGACUGGUGCUGAAAAUUAAUGCAUAAAGAUUAGGGUUAAGAUUAGUGCAUGAAGAUGCAGAUUGCUGGCACCCCGCGUGAGACAUUCAGAGCACCAGAAAGACCCACUGCCUAGUAAUGCAGUCUAAUAAAGUAUCCCCAUAGAUUGAGAGUAAAGGUAAAGUCAGCUAUAGGUGCUACAGACACUACAGCAGGACCCAGUGACCAUCCGGUGCCCUUAAAUCACCAAGCAUUACACAGCAUGGACUGAGGAAACCGAGUUGACUACCUACUCAAGAUUUGUGAAGAGAAGGUUACUACCAUAAACCUCAAAGAUGGGAAUUAUUUAUGCAUCCAAUAGCUUUCUGCAAUUUAUGUAGCUGAAACAUUUACCUCACCGUGAACGCAUCACAAAAACACCCAUUUUCCAAAACUGUGAGGUCAGCAAAUGAAAUCAACCUGUAACUUGUGCAGGAGGAGGCCUGAGCUUUCUGCAGAGAUCGGGUGUGUACCCACAAGUCAUUCCUUCCUUUCCCCUUGCCAACUUCCUCAUUCUCACAAGUCUCAAAUUCAGAUUUUUUUUUUUUUAAAUAUAGGAAAGAAAUAAGCAGAGGAUCUUCCCAGUUGCAGCUGCUUGAGACUCUUUCAAUAAUUUAGUAAUUAUCAUCAUGCUAAUGGAUUUUGCCAUCAGCCUCUCUCCUUUUAUCAAUAAACCCUAGUAUCUAAACAGAACACACAUCCCUCCCUGUUCCACAGGCAGGGUGACUGUGACCCCACAUCCUCACUUCCCCUCAAAUGUCCUGUAUGCAAUCACCUUUGUUCAGACAUUUCAAGAACAUGCACUUCAGCAUAUUAAAUCUAUGACAGAAAAACAGAAACUGUGUUACCAGAAGCAGCUCCUUAAUUCUAGGGAUGCUAAUUCCUUUCUGCAGAUGUAUUUUUCAGAAUUCUCGAUACAACAAAGUGAGAAGGGAUGUUGUUCGUGCCCAGCAGCCACAACAGGGUAGACAAGGGACACAGCUGCUGAAGCAGACAAGGAAUUGAGCGAUGACUGCCUGGGCAUUACACUGUAAACCAGAUUCUUAUACCAAGAACUUCAUUUAGAAAUCUGGAGAAAACUUAAGAUUAAUUUUGUUCAUACUACAUAUUUGCAUGGAACUUUGGAGCAAGGCUCCUGCUCAGCAACAUACACUACGUAUAUUAAAACCCUUGCACACUUUUUCGCCUUAAGGUUAAAAAUAUCUGAAAGAGAAAGACAUCACAUUUUUAACUGCUUAAGAGAGAAAGAAAUAUUGGCUCCCAUAUAUAGAGUGACAUGAUUUAUAAAUAUGUGGUUAAAAAGAACUGAUUUACAGACAGGGUCGUGAAUCUGUAGCUAAGUGUUUUAGCAUUUAACUAAAACAAUAACAGCCAGCAUUAAUUGCAUGUGGUCUGUUGCACAGCUACCGGAAUCAAAUAGUAAAGAGGAUCACAGUUCCUUAUUAGUUAGGACCACCUAGGGUGAUGGAAAGCCUCAAUGAUCAAAGAGAAGACAUUUUUAUGCUGCAAAUGUUGAUAUACUCUUGAGCUUUCCACCACAGUUUAAGAUCCGGUAUGAACACUUGACAACACACUAACAUAACAUACUGAACAGGACAACACACGUGAUAUUAGACUACACAAGUUUUGCUUGCUGGAAAAAGAAGUGAAUAAGAUUCAGUAUUAUUUUCGUUUUCCCUACUGUAUCGCAGAAUAGUUCUCUAUUAUUACCAGGGUGAUUUAUUUUCACCUACUUGAAUCAAAACUAAACUAGCUUUUGUUCCUAACACCGUAUCAUGAGAUCCCAUCACUACUAUCCAGUGAUCACUGGAUAGAUGAUGUAAAACAACAGCCUUCAUUUAUCUGUAGAAAUGCAAAGCAAUCCAGUGUGAUUACUUACCGUUUGCAACUUGGCCAUCCAGGAGCAUGGAGUUGUUUCUGUCUUGGCUGAAUAGCUGAAAUGUUUGGAAGAGAAUAAUUUAAUGUAUGUGUGCUAUUCAAGUGACUAUAAUUACUAAGAGAUAUUUUCAUUUUUAAAUUUAUAACUGCACUUUCUUUGUUUAUUGUUGUUGUUCAGUCUCCUGCCUUCAAUAGAUCACGACUUCUGAUGCUGUAAUUCAUUGCAGACUACUCUGUGUUAUAGAGAAAAACCUUAUGGUUCAAGUGAAAGAGGUUGAAAAGAAAUCAGCGUUAAAAAACAUGAACAUGAAUUUUAAAUUCUAUUUUUACAAAAUAUCAUCUAUCAUUAAAAGCUAUCAUUAAAUCAUAGCAGGAACCUAAGAGAGCUUUCAUUUAAUGUAACAAAGAGACGUAAGGAGACAGACAGAUAGCACAGUGCUUCCAAUAAGAGCAAAUUUUACUGAACAAAGAGUAUAGCAGCUGACCUUGUGGCUGUAAUGGAGGUGUGGGAAGAAGGAAGAUUGCUUAACUGGCAGAAGAAACACUGAUUUCAUCCUUGUGUAAUUAUCCCACACACACUGAGAAUGGUUGCAUACCUUCUGCUCUGCUUUGAUGCAAUUAUUAGCGUGUGCUUAUGGUCCAUAUAUAUAUAUAUGCACUUCAGACACUGAGCUACGCUCCAUUCAAAGCAGUUUAGCAUUCAGCUCUGAAAGCUCUUCAGAACUCUUGACUUGAACACCUCUAAAGCCUUCAAAAUCAACUCUGCACCAACCCCAUGUUUAAGGUUCAGAUCUCAUUAGUUUUGGCUAGGAAUGCUCUCUAAUUACUAAGAGAGUUUUCUCAAGUUGCACUUUAGAAAUUCAUCUUUUUUUGUACACUGUAAAGUAUUCAUAAAAAGCUAAAAACUGUGGGAAAAUUAGCAUUGAUGGAUGUUUUCUUACCCUCCACCAGGAAAUGAUGUACUUGAAACUCAUUACAGAUCUUCAUAGAAACUCUGCUGAAUGUGCCUUGGGCUUUGUGCUGAUCAGCACACACUGAGCUUACUGCAUAAUUCAUCUCUCUUGUGUCACAUUUAAUGUAUAACAUGCAUUUCCUGUUAAUUAUGAAAAUAAAGAUGCGUUCUUUCUUUUAGAAACAUAAUCAUUAAAUUACUACAGAAAUUAAG